rnacentral:lncRNA from 1 species
GAAAGUUUGCAUAUUUUCUUUAUUCAGAUUAUAGAAUAUUCACGUAAAUCUUUUGCAAAUUAGAUGGAAACCUAGCUACUGUGGUUGUUUUAAUUUAAAAUGGUAAAAAAAAAAAAAAAAAAAAAUAGCUUAGCAAAAAGCAACCUCUCAAGCAAGAAUAUUGCUAGGACUUUCUGUGGUCUGAGUGGGGAAUGGGAAACUGAAAACUAGCUGUUAUUGGCAGAGAGGUUUGGAAUUCUCUUAUUGGUCUAUUAACUAAUUUACCGCCUGAUGAUGUCACCAGGCAGGCCAAAACUCCAUCCCACCAAAACAGGUCAGUCUGUACACUAAAAGGGCAUUAUCAUAACUUUCACAAUUUCACAGUAUUAUUCCAACCUCAUAGUGUGUAAUUAUAUGUAAAAACACAUGGAAAUCAAGAUUUUGACUGCACUGGACCUUUGAAGAACACAUUGUUAUUUACAGUGAAGGCCUGAUUUGUUUGAUGUAAUAACAAAGUUCAUAUCCUGAUGCUGUUGACGCGCUCAGGAGAACCAGGCCUCCCAUGUCAGCCUCAGCCUGGAAGUCCCAGGGAGAUGUGAGGACCUGCCGCUGCUUUUCACCCCUCUCUGACGCAGCCCCUGUCUGGGAGAAUCAGCCUCUCCCUCCUCCUGGUGCAUAUAUUUAUGUGUCUGACUCAAUUUGUUGGUUGAAAUACGAUUGCUCAAACAGACUCAAUACAGCCAGGGGCCCCAUGUGAUGGACAGAGUUAGUCACACACAGUCAUCAGGUUUCAAAGAACUGAAAAUAGUUGAGGAGGAUUAAGUUGCUAAGUUUUAGAUAUUGAUAUAGAGUACACAGUAUAGUAGGGCUAUUCAGUUAUGGUCCUGGAGGCCCACAACACUUUCAUUUUCUAUACUUGGUAGUUAAUUGCACUCACCUGUUGUCCCAGGUCUAAACCAGUCCCUGAUUAUAUGGGAAGAAUAAAAGCAAUAGCUGCAGCAGUACUCAUGGUACUCACCCAAGCUGUUACAUAUUAUAUGUUUCUUUAGACAACAUGAAGGCGAAAGAAACACACACCUGUUUAGGCGAGGUGCUGGCUAGCAGAGUAGAACACCUGUUUAGGAGAGGUGCUGGCUAGCAGAGUAGAACACCUGUUUAGGAGAGGUGCUGGCUAGCGGAGUAGAACACCUGUUUAGGAGAGGUGCUGGCUAGCAGAGUAGAACACCUGUUUAGGGGAGGUGCUGGCUAGCGGAGUAGAACACCUGUUUAGGAGAGGUGCUGGCUAGCGGAGUAGAACACCUGUUUAGGGGAGGUGCUGGCUAGCAGAGUAGAACACCUGUUUAGGCGAGGUGCUGGCUAGGGGAGUAGAACACCUGUUUAGGUGAGGUGCUGGCUAGCGGAGUAGAACACCUGUUUAGGCGAGGUGCUGGCUAGUGGAGUAGAACACCUGUUUAGGAGAGGUGCUGGCUAGCAGAGUAGAACACCUGUUUAGGAGAGGUGCUGGCUAGCGGAGUAGAACACCUGUUUAGGAGAGGUGCUGGCUAGCAGAGUAGAUCACCUGUUUAGGAGAGGUGCUGGCUAGCGGAGUAGAACACCUGUUUAGGCGAGGUGCUGGCUAGCGGAGUAGAACACCUGUUUAGGAGAGGUGCUGGCUAGCGGAGUAGAACACCUGUUUAGGAGAGGUGCUGGCUAGCGGAGUAGAACACCUGUUUAGGAGAGGUGCUGGCUAGCGGAGUAGAACACCUGUUUAGGCG